rnacentral:rRNA from 1 species
AUUGAACGCUGGCGGCAGGCCUAACACAUGCAAGUCGAGCGGAUGACGGGAGCUUGCUCCUGGAUUCAGCGGCGGACGGGUGAGUAAUGCCUAGGAAUCUGCCUGGUGGUGGGGGACAACGUUUCGAAAGGAACGCUAAUACCGCAUACGUCCUACGGGAGAAAGCAGGGGACCUUCGGGCCUUGCGCUAUCAGAUGAGCCUAGGUCGGAUUAGCUAGUUGGUGAGGUAAUGGCUCACCAAGGCGACGAUCCGUAACUGGUCUGAGAGGAUGAUCAGUCACACUGGAACUGAGACACGGUCCAGACUCCUACGGGAGGCAGCAGUGGGGAAUAUUGGACAAUGGGCGAAAGCCUGAUCCAGCCAUGCCGCGUGUGUGAAGAAGGUCUUCGGAUUGUAAAGCACUUUAAGUUGGGAGGAAGGGCAGUAAGCGAAUACCUUGCUGUUUUGACGUUACCGACGGAAUAAGCACCGGCUAACUCUGUGCCAGCAGCCGCAGUAAAAC